rnacentral:rRNA from 1 species
GAUGAACGCUGGCGGCGUGCCUAAUACAUGCAAGUCGAGCGAACGGACGAGAAGCUUGCUUCUCUGAUGUUAGCGGCGGACGGGUGAGUAACACGUGGAUAACCUACCUAUAAGACUGGGAUAACUUCGGGAAACCGGAGCUAAUACCGGAUAAUAUUUUGAACCGCAUGGUUCAAAAGUGAAAGACGGUCUUGCUGUCACUUAUAGAUGGAUCCGCGCUGCAUUAGCUAGUUGGUAAGGUAACGGCUUACCAAGGCAACGAUGCAUAGCCGACCUGAGAGGGUGAUCGGCCACACUGGAACUGAGACACGGUCCAGACUCCUACGGGAGGCAGCAGUAGGGAAUCUUCCGCAAUGGGCGAAAGCCUGACGGAGCAACGCCGCGUGAGUGAUGAAGGUCUUCGGAUCGUAAAACUCUGUUAUUAGGGAAGAACAUAUGUGUAAGUAACUGUGCACAUCUUGACGGUACCUAAUCAGAAAGCCACGGCUAGCUACGUGCCAGCAGCCGCGGUAAUACGUAGGUGGCAAGCGUUAUCCGGAAUUAUUGGGCGUAAAGCGCGCGUAGGCGGUUUUUUAAGUCUGAUGUGAAAGCCCACGGCUCAACCGUGGAGGGUCAUUGGAAACUGGAAAACUUGAGUGCAGAAGAGGAAAGUGGAAUUCCAUGUGUAGCGGUGAAAUGCGCAGAGAUAUGGAGGAACACCAGUGGCGAAGGCGACUUUCUGGUCUGUAACUGACGCUGAUGUGCGAAAGCGUGGGGAUCAAACAGGAUUAGAUACCCUGGUAGUCCACGCCGUAAACGAUGAGUGCUAAGUGUUAGGGGGUUUCCGCCCCUUAGUGCUGCAGCUAACGCAUUAAGCACUCCGCCUGGGGAGUACGACCGCAAGGUUGAAACUCAAAGGAAUUGACGGGGACCCGCACAAGCGGUGGAGCAUGUGGUUUAAUUCGAAGCAACGCGAAGAACCUUACCAAAUCUUGACAUCCUUUGACAACUCUAGAGAUAGAGCCUUCCCCUUCGGGGGACAAAGUGACAGGUGGUGCAUGGUUGUCGUCAGCUCGUGUCGUGAGAUGUUGGGUUAAGUCCCGCAACGAGCGCAACCCUUAAGCUUAGUUGCCAUCAUUAAGUUGGGCACUCUAAGUUGACUGCCGGUGACAAACCGGAGGAAGGUGGGGAUGACGUCAAAUCAUCAUGCCCCUUAUGAUUUGGGCUACACACGUGCUACAAUGGACAAUACAAAGGGCAGCGAAACCGCGAGGUCAAGCAAAUCCCAUAAAGUUGUUCUCAGUUCGGAUUGUAGUCUGCAACUCGACUACAUGAAGCUGGAAUCGCUAGUAAUCGUAGAUCAGCAUGCUACGGUGAAUACGUUCCCGGGUCU